GUUAGGCUGGAGCUGGACAGGCAGGGAGAGGACAGGGAGGUUAGGCUGGAGCUGGACAGGCAGGAAGAGGACCUUUGAGAGGACAGGGCGGUUAGGCUGUAGCUGGACAGGCAGGGAGAGGACAGGGAGGUUAGGCUGGAACUGGACAGGCAGGAAGAGGACCUUUGAGAGGACAGGGGGGUUAGGCUGGAGCUGGACAGGCAGGGAGAGGACCUUUGAGGGACAGGGGGGUUAGGCUGGAGCUGGACAGGCA